AUGCAAGUCGAGCGGAAACGAAGAGGUGCUUGCACCUCUGGCGUCGAGCGGCGGACGGGUGAGUAAUGCUUGGGAAUAUGCCUUAUGGUGGGGGACAACAGUUGGAAACGACUGCUAAUACCGCAUAAUGCCUACGGACCAAAGUGGGGGACCUUCGGGCCUCACGCCAUAAGAUUAGCCCAAGUGGGAUUAGCUAGUUGGUGAGGUAAUGGCUCACCAAGGCGACGAUCCCUAGCUGGUUUGAGAGGAUGAUCAGCCACACUGGGACUGAGACACGGCCCAGACUCCUACGGGAGGCAGCAGUGGGGAAUAUUGCACAAUGGGCGCAAGCCUGAUGCAGCCAUGCCGCGUGUGUGAAGAAGGCCUUCGGGUUGUAAAGCACUUUCAGUAAGGAGGAAAGGUUAAGUGUUAAUAGCACUUAGCUGUGACGUUACUUACAGAAGAAGCACCGGCUAACUCCGUGCCAGCAGCCGCGGUAAUACGGAGGGUGCGAGCGUUAAUCGGAAUUACUGGGCGUAAAGCGUACGCAGGCGGUUUGUUAAGCGAGAUGUGAAAGCCCCA
rnacentral:rRNA from 1 species